GCCUCAGUGGUCUAGUAGUAUGAUUCGCCCUUCGGGAUUUUUCCCGUAAGCGGUCGCUUACACAGUGGGUGAGGUCCUGAGUUCAAUUCUCAGCUGGGGCC